rnacentral:lncRNA from 1 species
CCCCAACAAAAAACAUUCUCAGCUCUUCUGUCCGUUCUUUCUCUUCCCAUCAGCCCCGACGUUUCUUCCGACGUUUCUUCCGUCCGUUUCUUCCGACGUUUCUUCCGUCCGUUUCUUCCGACGUUUCUUUCUUCUGUCCGUUCUUUGUAAGCCCAUCGUCCCCGCAACAAAAAGCUUCUCUUCUGUCCGUUCUUUUUUAAUCCAUCGGCCCUUCUGUCCGUUCUUUGUAAAUCCGUCGGCCCCGCAUUCUCAGGCUUCUCUUCUGUAAGGUAACGGCUU